UUGUAACACUGAGUCGAGACCUCAAAAAGUCUUGCAACUUUGACUUUGAGCCUCUUGGAAUGCUCUGUUCUUGUGUAAAGAGGCCCAGGAUAGCCGGAAGGAAGGAAAUUGAGAUACCGGCAGAAAGAAGUCGCAUGGGCAGACAGAAGGAAACUCAUCUCAGCCAUUCCAGCCGCCCCAGCUGAGGCUUCACACUUGGGAGUGAGGCUGUCUAGGACCAACUAGCUAAACUGCCAUCUGAAUGCAACCACAUGAGUGUGCCCAGUCCGUAAGAAGGAGGUCCCCAAGUCCAGAGCACACUCAAGGCAAGAGGAAAUAAGCUGCACCUCCUGGAGAAAGGGAAAUCAAAGAAUUUGUGAUAGUGUGUGAAAACCACUCAGGGCCUCACUCUGUCACCCAGGCUGGAGUGCAGUUUCACCAU